rnacentral:ncRNA from 1 species
CGAAACGCAUUGAAGGAGAACGAACGGACCCGUACAUUUCAGAGAGCUGGUGGUUGGUGCGAACCAGUAUGGCGAUCCGUUCCAGAGCGCUCCCGAGCGUCUGUCCGAUCCCGCAACUUGCGGCGUAGGCGCAGCCGGUGUCACGCCGUUACCGUGAAGGGUCGGAUUUUCCGACCCGCUAAGGCCGCAGCCUGCAAAGGUUCGGCGAAUUAGGGUGGCACCGCGAGACUCUCGUCCCUUUA